AUGAUAAGCUUCCUUAGUUGUCUUUUCCUUUGUAGUUCUUAUUGCCCUGUAUCUGCACCAAAGGGAAAGUCAGUGCUAUCUCAAACUCACUUAAUUGAGUAAGCGAAGAAAGCUCCAAAAAUUGCAUUACUUAUUUGUACAUAUUUUGCAUUUCAUCAUUGGUAAUCGUGUCCAUUUGAUUUCGUGUGGCCAAAUAUUGAUCAGAAAUAUUUGUAAGAUAUUGAGUAGUGGAUUGAUAUAGGCAGCUUUUCUUUUUCUUUGCCUCUAUUUCUGCUAAAUACUUUUCCUCGCUAUAGUUGUUUUUCUUUAUGCAUAUAGGUUUCUUGAACCUAGUUUGUUUCCCUUUUAGUUUAUUAGUUCAUUUCUUUUCUGAGUUUAAUUUUCUAUGUAAAAUGGUUAAGUCCUGAUUUGGAUUCAAUCUGUUUGGUGCGAUGAAGCAUCUUUUUUAUGUAAACGUGCCGCAGAUUUUCAUUUGGGUAACAAAGCUACAGCACGAUUGUGCUGAUCGGGCACCAGUGACAGCCCGAUUGUCCACUGGUGAGAAAGGGGUGUGGUCAUGAUCAUUAAUUUCCACGAGUGAAAAGUCUAUUAUAUCAUAAUUUUUCCUUUCCCAUUUCCCUUAUUCCCCAAUCCCAAUCCCAAUCCCUAACUCUCUCUUUCUCCCUCUCUUCUCUCCGUCCCCUCUCUCUCCCCCUCUCCUCCUUGCCAUGUCGUUCCCUGUUGUGACCGCUUGGCCUUUCCCUUCUACCCUUAGCCCGAGCCUGUGAUGCCUUAGAAUUGGAGAGUGUUGGCCACCCUGUGACUGUCGCCCACUCUCAUUUGUCCCCUUGACCACCGGCCCUCCAGCUUAUUUGCAAAUCAUCUUCUGUACUAAAGUAAGAUAUUGGUGUUUUGAGCACUAAGGCUAAAAAAUUUGCUUAAACAAUAUCAAAUGCUCAAACUGGGUCAAUGUUUAGGGGGUAAAAAUGAAGCAUCAGUGUCUUGAUCAUUGAAUGAUUGCAAAGAAAAGAAUCGUGAUCGCUGCCCUACCAUGUUGUGCUAUGACCCCUUAAGCCCGUGACGCCGCGAGCCCUUCAACCCGUGACAGCUGCCCAUAAUUGCCCAUGACUACUGGCCUUUUAGCUUGUUUGGAACUCGUCUUCUCUUUCCAAGUUUCAAACGACAACACCGAAGAGUUGUUUCAUGCUCCCUCCUGCCCCUGGCAAGAGCAUCAUAGCAACGGGUAA